UGAGCCACCCAGGCGCCCCUAGGCUACGGGAUUUUACCAAUAGGAAUCGAUCACCGUUUCCGAAGAGAAAGUUUGCCUGCUUCGCUGGCAAGAGGCAGAGUCCUCUGUCACCAUGUCUGGCUGGCGGCGACCUAGGUGCCACGUGAUGGUCAUCUGAAGACAGGCCUGGCGGAUGUCAGACCCCGUCCUGUUCCAGCGUCCGACUCUGUGGAUCCCAUCCGUCGGACGCUCGGGUGUGCAAGCCAGAAUCCGGAAGUCACUCUUGCCUCGUGCCUUGGCCAAGCCUUGCUCUGUUGAAGGUCUCCCGAGUCCUCCGUCUUCUCUGCACCCCGCGGCCUUUGCCCCAGUUGAACUGCUCCUGCAGCAGGAGCCCCACUGGACCUCCUUUGCCCACCACAACCUGCAUCUGGGCCAUUUACUGCUCUAAAUAUUUUAAUGUUUUUUUAUUUUUAAGAGAGAGACAGAGUAUGAGUGGG